rnacentral:tRNA from 1 species
UAUAAAAUAGUUUAUUAAAAACAUAAUAUUGAAGAUAUUAAAAUGAAGACCCCUUCUUUUAUAA